AGAGUUCUCAGUAUUAUAAUGCUUAUAUUUUCUAGUCUUGUUGUUAAAGGGUAUGAUUUUUAUAGUUCAGUUGCUACAUUAUAUAAUUUUCGGAGGGAUAGUUGACAUAGGGAUGAUAUUAAGGUGUCUUAGCUAGUCUAGAAAGGCCUCUUUAUACCCUAAUGAGCUGAAAACACUUGUGUGAAGGUAAGUUAGUGCUUAUAUCCAUUUCAGAAUUUAAAAUUAUGUAUAAUUCUGAUAUGAACUGCCAUGGACUUGUAUUAUUGAUGUGACUUUCAAUUCACCAUAGAACCUUGUGUUUGGUUGGAUAGGUGGUGAUGUAAAGUAUAUUAAGAGUAGUGGUUUAAAGCUGGUACGUGCGUGAGUGAUGAAUGGGUGUUUAAAAGGAACUGAAUAAUUUUAUUUAUUUCAGAACACUGGCAAGUACUGGUUUGGGUGGUCAGCUUUCUGGAGAUAUUGGAUCACUGUCUGAAUUGGAGAUUUUAUAACAGAAUCGGGCACAUUCCUGUGAUUGAUGAGAAGGGGAUGGUUGGAAUGGUGUCCAUUGGUGAUGUGGUUCAUGUUGGGGUGCGCGAGCACCGUCAAGAGUUUGAGCAUUUGAAUGCUUUCAUACAAGGGGUUAUUAGAUGAUGAUGAUGGUGAAAAUCUCUGAAGAGCACUGAAGCUAAUUUGGAUUAAGUAAUAAGCCUGAGUGUUUGUAAAUAUGUUUGUGAUUUCAGUUCUAUAGCAGCAUGUUAAUAAUAACAACCGGAUGCAUUUUGAAUCUGUUUUCAACUCUCGAAAACAUAUUUCACUGUUCAUUGAGUGCAAGUUCAAAUCUGCACUCUGCUGAUGGUAACUUUUCUUUUUGCCUU